rnacentral:rRNA from 1 species
ACGGGGUGCAGCAGGCGCGAAAUCUUCACAAUGUGCGAAAGCACGAUGAGGGGAUCCCAAGUGCUGGCACGUAAGUGUCAGCUGUUUCUUAGUCUAAAAAACUGAGAGAGUAAGGGCUGGGUAAGACGGGUGCCAGCCGCCGCGGUAAUACCUGCAGCUCAAGUAGUGGCCGCUAUUAUUGGGCCUAAAACGUCCGUAGCCCGUUUAGUAAAUGCUUGGGUAAAUUGUGUAGCUUAACUAUACGAAUACCGAGUAGACUGCUAAACUUGGGACCGGGAGAGGCUAGAGGUACUCCUAGGGUAGAGGUGAAAUUCUGUAAUCCUAGGGGGACCACCAGUGGCGAAGGCGUCUAGCUAGAACGGGUCUGACGGUGAGGGACGAAGCCCUGGGGCGCAAACCGGAUUAGAUACCCGGGUAGUCCAGGGUGUAAACGCUGCUUGCUUGAUGUUAGUUGGGCUCCGAGCCCAACUAGUGUCGGAGAGAAGUUGUUAAGCAAGCUGCCUGGAAGUACGUCGCAAGAC